GCGCAUGCCCCAGCCCCCCUCCCCCCGACCUCUGCGCAAACGCCCCGCCCUGAGGUGUUCCCAUGGCAACGCCUCAGGUUCCCCGUCUGGCCUUGCGUAGCCCCCCUCCACCUAGGCCCCUUGGCGCCCCCACCGUGAAUCCCGCUCCCCUCGGCCCCGCUGCCGUCCCGCGGGCGGGUAACUGCCCCCCGGGGGCGAAGGGGAGUGUGUGUGGGGGUCAGAUAGAGUCCCGCCCCCGGUCCCGCGAGAACGGCUGGUUCGUUGGGUGUUUAAUGAGCGGUUGGACACAGCCAAUGAGAUGGCUCAGGAUGCGGCGGCCGCUUAGAUGCUAGGCGCGCUAGAGCCAUGUACAGCGCCGAGCACCGGGGGGGCCCCCAGGUCUGUGACUGCCCUGCCUGGGUGCUACCCUCUUACACAUGCCUACGGCGCGGUGAAUAAUAGCGACUCAUUACGAAAUGUUAAGCACAAAAAAAGACGAAUCAUGGGGGCGGGGGGCAAAGAGGUAUUGGGCAGAGCUGGGCCUGAAUUCGGUUUACAUUGGGAUGCGGGGGGGGGGGGUCAGAGCUUGGGGCAGCGCCUUAUAGCUUGGUUGUGUUCAUGUUGUGCUCCCCUUGUCCCAUCCAUGCAGGUAGUGACCCGGCGGACACUGAAGAAAGGCACUAGAGAGCUUGAGGGUCAGCAAGAGGAGAGACAGACGGCCAAGUGCAACGCAAGCGAGAUGAUGCAUGGAGGGAAAAAUGCUGGGGGAGACGCCACACGCAGGAGAAGGUCCCAGUAUAACACACCCUUACAGCGAGAAGAACAGGCGUACUUGGUGGCACCAAUACAGACUAACACAGCUGCUACUCUGAAACGAGGUGUUUCUGACCACGUUUGUUUGGGAUGUUCGGGAGUUUUCUAGCUGAUGAUGUGAAGUGUGUGCAGGGGAAGGGAUUUUGUAGUACCUUAAACUGUAUUUCCGUAACUCCUUGUAGUUUAAAUGGGACUGUUUUUCUUGUGAAAGUUACUAGUGCCCCCCCCCCCCACACACACACCUACCUUAACAG